GCUGCCCGCGGGCGGGGGCGCCCGGGCGACCGCGGCGAUGCGCGGUCCCUGGCCCCGGGAGGCGGCCACCCUGGGGCCGUCGGGAUGGAGGUGAGAAGACGGCCGUGACGCGCGCCCGCGCGGCCCCCUGCGCCCCCAGCAGCCUACAGCGCUCCCUGCCCCCCUCCCCCGCGGCGGCUGGCCUUGCCCUCCAGUGACAGCGGCCUGGGGGGGGCAGGGGGGGCGGGGGCGGCCGGACCAGCGAUGCCGGCGGGCAUGACGAAGCAUGGCUCCCGCUCCACCAGCUCGCUGCCACCUGAGCCCAUGGAGAUCGUGCGCAGCAAGGCGUGCUCGAGGCGCGUCCGCCUCAACGUCGGUGGGCUGGCGCACGAGGUGCUCUGGCGCACCCUGGACCGCCUGCCCCGCACGCGGCUGGGCAAGCUGCGCGACUGCAACACGCACGACUCGCUGCUGGAGGUGUGCGAUGACUACAGCCUCGACGACAAUGAGUACUUCUUCGACCGCCACCCGGGCGCCUUCACCUCCAUCCUCAACUUCUACCGCACCGGACGGCUGCACAUGAUGGAGGAGAUGUGCGCGCUCAGCUUCAGCCAAGAGCUCGACUACUGGGGCAUCGACGAAAUCUACCUGGAGUCCUGCUGCCAGGCCCGCUACCACCAAAAGAAGGAGCAGAUGAACGAGGAGCUCAAGCGCGAGGCAGAAACCCUACGGGAGCGGGAGGGUGAGGAGUUUGAUAACACGUGCUGCGCGGAGAAGAGGAAAAAGCUCUGGGACUUACUGGAGAAGCCCAAUUCCUCUGUGGCCGCCAAGAUCCUUGCCAUAAUUUCCAUCAUGUUCAUCGUCCUCUCCACCAUUGCCCUGUCUCUCAACACACUGCCCGAGCUGCAGAGCCUUGAUGAGUUUGGCCAGACCACAGACAACCCCCAGCUGGCCCACGUGGAGGCCGUGUGCAUUGCAUGGUUCACCAUGGAGUAUCUGCUGCGGUUCCUCUCCUCCCCCAAAAAGUGGAAGUUCUUCAAGGGCCCGCUCAACGCCAUUGACUUGUUGGCCAUCCUGCCAUAUUAUGUCACCAUCUUCCUCACUGAAUCCAACAAGAGCGUGCUGCAGUUCCAGAAUGUCCGCCGCGUGGUCCAGAUCUUCCGCAUCAUGCGUAUUCUCCGCAUUCUUAAGCUCGCACGUCACUCCACUGGCCUCCAGUCCUUGGGCUUCACUCUGCGGAGGAGCUACAACGAGCUGGGCUUGCUCAUCCUCUUCCUUGCCAUGGGCAUCAUGAUCUUCUCCAGCCUUGUCUUCUUUGCCGAGAAGGAUGAGGAUGACACCAAGUUCAAAAGCAUCCCAGCCUCUUUCUGGUGGGCCACCAUCACCAUGACGACCGUUGGGUAUGGAGACAUCUACCCCAAGACUCUCCUGGGGAAAAUUGUGGGGGGUCUUUGCUGCAUUGCAGGGGUCCUGGUGAUUGCUCUUCCCAUCCCCAUCAUUGUCAAUAACUUCUCUGAGUUCUACAAGGAGCAGAAGAGGCAGGAGAAAGCAAUCAAGCGGAGAGAGGCUCUGGAGAGAGCCAAGAGAAAUGGCAGCAUCGUAUCCAUGAACAUGAAGGAUGCAUUCCCCCGGAGCAUCGAGAUGAUGGACAUUGUGGUUGAGAAAAAUGGAGAGAACCUGGGUCAGAAAGACAAAGUGCAAGAUAAUCACUUGUCUCCCAACAAAUGGAAAUGGACAAAGAGGACACUGUCCGAAACCAGCUCAAGCAAGUCCUUUGAAACCAAGGAGCAGGGGUCCCCUGAGAAGGCCAGAUCAUCUUCUAGUCCUCAGCACCUGAACGUCCAGCAGUUGGAAGACAUGUACAAUAAGAUGGCCAAGACACAAUCUCAACCCAUCCUCAAUACUAAGGAGUCUGCAACACAGAGCAAACCAAAGGAAGAACUUGAAAUGGAGAGUGUCCCCAGCCCCGUAGCCCCUCUGCCCACUCGUACAGAAGGGGUCAUUGACAUGCGAAGCAUGUCGAGCAUUGAUAGCUUCAUUAGCUGUGCCACAGACUUCCCUGAAGCCACCAGAUUCUCCCACAGCCCUUUGGCAUCACUCCCCAGCAAAACUGGGGGUGGCCUGGCCCCAGAGGUUGGCUGGCAGGGAGCUCUGGGUGCCACUGGUGGUAGGUUUGUGGAGGCCAACCCCACCUCUGAUGCCAGGCAUCCCUCUGCUUUCUUCACUGAGAGCCCCAAGAGCUCCAUGAAGACCACCAACCCCUUGAAGCUUCGCGCACUUAAAGUCAACUUCAUGGAGGGCGAUCCCAGGCCAUUAGUCCCCGUUCUGGGGAUGUACCAUGACCCUCUUAGGAACCGGGGGGGUGCUGCGGCAGCUGUUGCUGGGCUGGAGUGCGCCACACUCUUGGACAGGCCCGUGCUGAGUCCGGAGUCCUCCAUCUACACCACAGCAAGUGCUAGGACACCCCCCCGGUCGCCAGAGAAACACACAGCAAUAGCAUUCAACUUUGAAGCCGGUAUCCACCAGUACAUUGAUGCGGACACAGAUGACGAGGGGCAAGUGCUCUACAGUGUGGACUCCAGCCCCCCCAAGAGCCUCCACGGGAGCGCUAGUCCCAAGUUCAGUGUCGGGACAAGGUCAGAGAAGAACCACUUUGAAAGCUCCCCUUUACCCACCUCCCCUAAGUUCUUAAGGCAGAACUGUAUUUACUCUACAGAAGCAUUGACUGGAAAAACUCCCAGUGGUCAGGAAAAGUGCAAGCUUGAGAACCACAUCUCCCCCGACGUCCGCGUGUUGCCGGGGGGAGGAGCCCAUGGAAGCACACGGGAUCAGAGCAUCUGAACUACCUCCACACGGAGGAGAGACUUGGGGCAGGGUCCAAAGAGGAGUGCUGUUCAGCUUACCUGCCGUGGAGCUUUUGUGCAUGACCUCUGAAACAGAAAGGCUCUGCAAAGCCCCCAGAAAGAAGAGAGACCAGAGAAAGCUCCCUUAAAACCUUGAGAGCCGUUAACGGGUCCAUCAGAGUGAAGCUGGCCAAGCCACAGGGUAUGGCGCCUCCUUGUAAGAGCUCCACGGCCCUCUUUGGAAGAUGACAAGAGCAGAACUCACAGCCACCACUACCACGUUCUAGACAUAACCAAGGCCACCUACUCCCCAUUCUUCUCUCGUGGCUUUCCAUCACAGCCUCUGAGGGCAAGAUCUCCAUCCCUCCUGGCUGCAGCUGGAGAAGGAGGCCGGAACAAGUGGCUGGUGUUAAAAGAGGGGGUUGACCAAUUUGGUUUGGGGUGUUGCCUGGCCACACCUCUAGGAACUUCUGUCCAUCACCUGCUGGAUGGAUCCCACUGUUAGAAGGCUACAGGGAAUGCUUGUGUCAUGGGGAAAACUGCACCAUAAGCCACGAUCCCAGCGCAAAACCCUUCCUCAAAUGUCUUCAUUGACUUCAGUAUUCCGUAGUACCUGAGAUUUUAUUUUGAGAUAUCAUCAGGUCUCAAGUAACAUGACCCCGGGCUUCAGCCUCCAGUCAAGUAACUUUGAAUCCAAUGUGGUGAGAAGCCUCUAGCAUGUGAUCCUUUGAGAAAAAGACUUUUUCUACUGCUGCGAAGUUGGCAGGCGUUAAAAGGGGGCUUUCCCCUGACUCCCCCAGCAGGACAGUGGAGAACCUGCAGCCCUGAGCUAAAAUUUCCUCGCCUCCCACAGCUUAUAUGACAGCAUCCAAAUGCUUUCACUCAACCCCGGACGACUCAAACCAGCCCUGGCUACACCCAGAAAUAAGAGUUACCUCUGCAUUUUCUGUUGCCAUUUUUCUGGCUCUAGAAGUAUGUGAUGCGUGACCAUAUCAUAGGUUGUCCACGCAUCUCAGAGUAGUCUAUUUUUCUGUUCAGAUAAAAUAUAUAUAUAUAUAUAUAUAUGUAUUUUUAGCAAAUUUAUAAUUGGGCCAUUGAGUCUAAUUUCUUCUUUUGUAAUACAGAAUAACAUCUUAGGGUUUUAUCGUUGGUCAUAAUCGCAGCUGAUAUCUUCUGGUCUCCUUCAUUUCCUCCUGUUGCUCCUUGGAUCUUUUUUUUCUUCUUCUUCUUUUUGAUUCUGAUUUUCUGAAGGUGGGGAAAGACUUUGGGGUCUGACUUCCUCGUGCAGGCAUUUCCUGACACAAGGCCUAGAAUCUGUUGACCUGUUACUUUCCUCGUUCUGUCUGUUCUAUUUAUUGUUCUUAAAAAUCCGGAACACAGAUGCAGGAGUGAAACCAGGGGAAGCAGGGCUACAGAUGGCCCUCAGAAUCAGGAUGGGAUGUGGGCUGGUUUAGCUCAUCCUCCACACCGUUCCGGGGAUCUAAAGGGACUGAGUUUGUUCAUUUCCAGAGAUCUUGGAAUCUAAAAUCUCAUACGAGGAAACCUCCCUCUGACAUUUCUGAGAUUCAGAAGACACCCAAACCCCUCUUGGCCGGCCUGUUGCCACGCCCAGUGCCCUGCUCCCCUGUGACACCAAUUGGAUCUGAAGGUCGGGGCACUUUCAGGUUCUUACGAGAAACUUAGAGAAAAUCCUGGGCCUCAGAACUCAUCAACUUUUUAUCAGUUCUUCAUUUCAAUCCAUUUGCAACAGGCUUACCAAAAAACAGUGGCCAGAGAAGCUUGCAGCCAAAUCCUGAGACGACAUGUCCCCAGAAUCUGCCAUCUCAUCUCCCCUCCCCUUUCCAGCUGCCUGGCUCCGUAGAGCCAGAGAUUCGUGGCAAGGGCAGUGGUAUUUUUCCAGCUUCCCCCUAUCCAGGCCUCGGGGAGUGUCUGGACUAUCCUGAUAAUUAAUUCUACCAGGCGGUUUCCAGGCCUCGGGUGGGCAGAGGACAUCUCACGAAGCAGGAUCUUCAGCAGGAAACGAUUCUCCAUCCAUCAGCUCAUGCAGGAAGAUGAAGCAAGCCCAGAUAAUCUCCAUCUUGCAUCUAUAGAUUUUCAUAUCCCACCUGCCUCGCUGUCAGCUACAGGGCUCUGGCCUCUGCCCAGGUCAGGGAUCUGAGCCAAAUCAGGACCCCCAGAUGGCAGUGAGCCAUGCCUGUUGGGUCAACCCCAAGAGGAAACCAUCCGAAGUACAAAUGUGUCAUUCUGGACUAAGAUUCUAAUCAGCGUUCCCCCACCCCCC